CCGGGGGCGGGGUGCCGAUGAGAAGCCGCCGGGGGCUGCCGGGUACUUUUCUGUCCAGAAACUCGACGCCGUCCUGCCCCAGCCCAGCCCGACCCCCGUUUUCCUGUACCUGUUGGUAAGAGAAUCGCUGCUGCUCCUCGGUCUCCGCCUCCUCCUCCAUCACUGCGGGCCGACCCUGGGCAAACGCAGGAGGGCCGAGAAGGGGCGGUGGUGCGCGGCCAGGUCGGAUUUUCCCGCCGCGGCGCGAGCGACGGGCCGCGCGGGCGGACAAAGUACGCAGCUCCGCCCUGCCUCGCGCGCCCCCUGGCGGCGCUCCGUUGAGGGGAUUCCGCCGUCGGCCUCCAGCCAGCCCCCUGCUCAGCUUGCUCUGCGGAGGUGGCCGGGCGACGCGGGGACAUGACCACCGAGGUCACUGCUGCACCCCAGAGCCUGAUUCAGCGCCUGGCACAACGCUGAGCACCACUCUCCGCGAAACACGUGUGCGCAUAGGUGCAAAGCGUGUUCCAGUCGGGUGUAGAGGAUGCGUAGCCCACGAUUUACAGAUCAUGUAACGCAGUACACAUUAUCAGGAGCUCCAUGCACCUGUACCUCAGGUGUAUCUUGCAAAAUCGACCAUCAACUUUAUCAUUCUAUCACCAACAAUAGCGUCACAAAGACUACAAUGAGUGAACGACCCGUGACCUCAUUCAGCGAGUGGAACAGGAACUGCGUUGUUGCCAUUGGCAGGAGUAUAGUUCUGACACAAGUGUUACUGUUUUUCCUUUAUGUUAACGAUGAAGUGAGACCAUCAAACCCAA
ensembl:lncRNA novel transcript, antisense to APITD1-CORT